UACGAAGGGGGCUAGCGUUGCUCGGAAUCACUGGGCGUAAAGCGCACGUAGGCGGAUUGCUAAGUCAGGGGUGAAAUCCUGGAGCUCAACUCCAGAACUGCCUUUGAUACUGGCGAGCUUGAGUUCGGGAGAGGUGAGUGGAACUGCGAGUGUAGAGGUGAAAUUCGUAGAUAUUCGGAAGAACACCAGUGGCGAAGGCGGCUCACUGGCCCGGUACUGACGCUGAGGUGCGAAAGCGUGGGGAGCAAACAGG
rnacentral:rRNA from 1 species